rnacentral:lncRNA from 1 species
UUGGGUUAACUCUUUUGGGUGUUUUAGUAAUUAUCUUCCUUAGGGUGCAUUUGGUUCGCACUAUGAAAGAUUACUAGAAAUAAAAAGAUGUCCGAGAAUUUUAUUCAUAUUCAUCCUAUUACUAAGAAUAUAGUAUUUCUGUGUUCGGUUCGCACAGUUAUAUUAUUUAGUCAUAUUAUUUAAGAUUACAAAAAAUAUACAAUUAAUUUAUCUAUUUCUUUAAUUAAUUUUAGAUAAUGCUACCAAAAUUUUCAAUAUUUUUUUUAAAAACAAGAAGAGAGAACAUAGAUUAGAGAGAGAGAGCAUAAUUAAAGAAUUAGGAAGGGAAAUAGAAUCGAGAUUAGAAGGAGUGAGGGAGUUAAGAUUUUAGAAAACUAGAGGGAGAGAGAGCUUAGUUUAGAGAGAAAAAAAGAGUUGAAAUUUUGAGAAAACAAAAUAAGUUUAGAGAGAGAUAUGAGGUUAGAGUGUAAAGAAAAAAUAAUACUAACUAGCCGGCUGUAGCACACUGGACCUUUGCAAAUUG